AACGAACGCUGGCGGCAUGCCUAACACAUGCAAGUCGAACGAGACCUUCGGGUCUAGUGGCGCACGGGUGCGUAACGCGUGGGAACCUGCCCUUAGGUUCGGAAUAACUCCCCGAAAGGGGUGCUAAUACCGGAUAAUGUCUUCGGACCAAAGAUUUAUCGCCUUUGGAUGGGCCCGCGUUGGAUUAGCUAGUUGGUAGGGUAAAAGCCUACCAAGGCGACGGUCCAUAGCUGGUCUGAGAGGAUGAUCAGCCACACUGGGACUGAGACACGGCCCAGACUCCUACGGGAGGCAGCAGUGGGGAAUAUUGGACAAUGGGCGAAAGCCUGAUACGGCAAUGCCGCGUGAGUGAUGAAGGCCUUAGGGUUGUAAAGCUCUUUUACCCGGGAUGAUAAUGACAGUACCGGGAGAAUAAGCUCCGGCUAACUCCGUG
rnacentral:rRNA from 1 species